UGCACAAUUUUUUUUUUUAAAAAAAAAAAUAUUAGGGAGAGGUCAAAGCUUGCCUCCCUAUAUAUGUGUCUCCAUCUCUUGUCAAAUCUCUCUGCUAUCCUAAUUAUAUUAAUAAAGAUUUGUAAAAUAGUUCUGGGUUUGAGCAUAAACACUUAGUAGUAGGGAGAAAUUAAUUCACAUUGAUUGAUUCCCUAUUAAAAGCUGAAUUUUGGUGAGAAUUAAUAAAAUGAAUUUGUGGAUCUCAAAGCAAUUGCAAUCAGUCAAGCAUAUUUGAAACAUCAAGUACCAUAUUCAUACCUACAUAGUAACAUAUUUCUUCAUUACAAUGUUGGCUUAAAUAUUAGAGGAUUCGUUAUAGUGUAUGAAAAAAUUAUACAAUUUCUCUAUUUGAUUUCCUCUCAUAUCCCUCAUGAUCUGAUCCCUAUGAAGACUCGCUCAUCAUUCUUUUUCUCAUCGAUCAUUCACUUUCAUAAACUCUUGAUCAGAAGCUUCGAUAAAAUUAUCUACUCCAGCGUUGUUUUUGCUCCAGCCAAAUCUUCUAGAGUCUUUCUCUCUCAGAAUCUCUUCUGUAGAGCUUUUGUAUCGAGACACCCUCUUGUUGAUGUCAUUUGUGGAGCUACUAAGUCAUGGCAACUUCAGUGUUAGUAAAUAACAAUAACAGAAGCAUUUUCUUAUCCUUCUCCUUUUGUCAAGACCCAGGAGAAGUUGUGGAGGAUAGCAUGAUAUAACAUGUUGUUGAUGAGAUUUGAUCUUCCACCAUUUUGAUUCGGAUGGAGUGUGUUCUGUUACAAACAGAGAGCUGGACUCAUUGACCUUACUGGCUGUCAUUGUAUGUGGCCAUUUAAUUUGUCCUGUGUGUUCUAAAAGAUAGAAAAUCCCAGUUUGCAUCUUUCUUGAUUUAUUGAAUUUGUUUUCAUUGUUUUAUUGUGAAUGGCUGUUGGAAGACUUUAAUUAAUAUUAUUUUGUUAUUUUAAUUGUCUAUAGUGAUCCCUAUUGAAUCGCCAAAUUCUUGUUCGGGAGCACGAGGAAACUGUAUUUAACUUUCUUAAGAAUAAUACAACUUUUUUCAUAUCAACUAUUACUUUUUUUUUAAGAUGUUGUGCUUGCAAGGGUUGCCACAGAGAAAAUGUUAUCUCUUAUCAAGGCAUGGUAAAGUGAAAAGUUCAAGGCAGAGAACAAACACAGAUAGAGAGAAUCAAGUGAAAUGUCGUGAUUCACUUUGUGGGCUCGACAAUAGGCUUUCAAAUCAAAUGAAAAUAAUAAAGCAUCAUAAUAUCUUUAGAUUUUGAUGUUCACUUUUUAAGUGAAACAUGGAAGAGUUUUUUCAAAUUUUAGCUAAACCUUUAAGAUAUAAGUUUAUUACGAUGACUUUGAUUCUCUAAAUUUUACUUUUUGAAAGUUAUUCACUUCUUAAGUAAAAUAUGUAUUUGGAU